rnacentral:miRNA from 1 species
AAAGUGCUAGCGUAGAAACGG